CUUAUACUCCCUCUGUUCCGAAUUACUUGUCGUAGGUAUGGAUGUAUCUAGAUACAUCCAUUUCUACGACGAGUAAUUUGGAACGGAGGGAGUAUCUU
rnacentral:pre_miRNA from 1 species